AACCUAGACCCCAAAAAAUCCCAACAAGGAACGAGGCCCCAUCCCUAAUCCUCUAAUCUGAUUCUUCUCCAAAACAGAUAGCUACAGAAGUUACUGUGAAAUAAUCAUUUUCUCUUGGAAUUUCUUUUUUUCAUAGCUAUGUAAACUCACUACAGCAACAUCAUCUUCCCCGUUGAGCAUCACUUCAUUUUUUCUUCAUCAUUAAAGCCAUUUGUAUCUCUAGAAAUUAAAAAUCUCACUGCAGAUUCACUCUCCAAAAGCCACCAUCCCUUUCCUUUAUUCCAUUAACACAGUUGAGUUUUUAUCAUCCUAUUACCAUAAGACCCAGCAGGAAACCAAAAAAAAACAAAAAAAAUUCGAGAUCUGGGUCUGAAGUUCCGUCCGAGGUCUCGGUGCGAUUCAUGUGUGCCGAUUUUACUUCACAUCGAAGGUCCUUGUGAUUUUUAUCUUUGUAAGUUGUCGAAGCUCUAAUUAGAGUUGUCUUGCUGCGAUUGUUGUUGGUUGUGGACGGAAAUUGUUGCUGAGCUUCGUGUCGCUUUUCCUUCGUUUCUUUUAAAAUACAAGGUGGUUCAACAGGCUUGGGAUAUUGAGGUAGCUGGAAAUCCUCUUUACAUCCUUAUCAGAAAAUAAAAAACACCUGCAAGACCCUUAGCCAAUGGUCGAGGGAAGCCUUUGGGGAUAUUUAUGAAGAACCUAAGAACUUAAAGAUCCUCAUUAGAAGUCUGGAAGAAGCUUCCUUAGCCAACAACAACCAAGAAAUAGAAUGAAACUCUCUAAAGCCAGAGUUGAAUUCAUCAGGUUCUUAAAGCUCCAAGAUAGUAUCUUGAGGAAGAAGGCUAGAGUCAAAUGGUUAGAAGAAGGAGAUGUCUACACAACUUUCUUUCAUGAUGUCAUUAAGAACAAGAGAAGGAGACUAAUGAUUUAGAAGAUCAAAGAUAUUGAGGGUAACUGACUGGAAGGUACAAAAGAUGUUGUUGAUGUUGCCCUCAAAUAUUUUGAGCACUUGUUCACUGCUGAAGAAGUUAAGGAGGACAGCAUGGUACUGAAUGUUGUUAACAAAAUAGUGUUAGAUGAAGAUAAUACUACAUUAACUACUAUCUCUACCCUCCAAAAAGUUAAGGAUUCUGUUCUUUCUAUUGAUCAAGAUAGCUCUCCUAGUCCUGAUGGCUUGACUGGUAGGUCUUACCAAAUAUGCUGGAGAAUUAUUGCAGAAGACCCCCAUAGAGCAGUAGUAUCCUUUUUCCAGGGAGCCACUCUUCCUAAAAAAAAUUUGCACCUGUAUAGUAAUGAUCCCUCAAGUUGAAGCACCACAGAGUUUCUCUGAAUUUAGACCUUUCAGUUUAUGUAAUAUCUCUAGCAAAAUCAUUGCCAAGGUGAUUAAUUCCAGGUUAAAUAGAAUUCUUCCUAGAAUUGUCACUCAAAAUCAAAGUGGUUUUAUUAAAGGUAGAGCCAUUACUGAAAACAUCCUGCUGGCAUAAGAAAUCAUCGAUGACAUUGAAAAACCAUGGAAAGGAGCCAAUAUGGUUAUCAAACUAGACAUGGUCAAGGCUUAUGACAGAGUUUCAUUGUCUUUUUUUGUUUUAUGCUUAGGUAACUUGGAUGCGCAAAAGAAUGGACUGAUCUUAUAUAAAAUUUAUCUCUAAUAACAGGUAUUCUCUUCUUG